UACGUAGGGACCAAGCGUUGUUCGGAUUUACUGGGCGUAAGGGGCGCGUAGGCGGCGUGACAAGUCACUUGUGAAAUCUCUGAGCUUAACUCAGAACGGCCAAGUGAUACUGCUGUGCUAGAGUGCAGAAGGGGCAAUCGGAAUUCUUGGUGUAGCGGUGAAAUGCGUAGAUAUCAAGAGGAACACCUGAGGUGAAGACGGGUUGCUGGGCUGACACUGACGCUGAGGCGCGAAAGCCAGGGGAGCAAACGGG
rnacentral:rRNA from 1 species